AGAGUUUGAUCCUGGCUCAGAUUGAACGCUGGCGGCAGGCUUAACACGUGCAAGUCGAACGAAGUUAGGAAGCUUGCUUCUGAUACUUAGUGGCGGACGGGUGAGUAAUGCUUAGGAAUCUGCCUAGUAGUGGGGGAUAACUUGGGGAAACCCAAGCUAAUACCGCAUACGACCUACGGGUGAAAGGGGGCUUUUAGCUCUCGCUAUUAGAUGAGCCUAAGUCGGAUUAGCUGGUUGGUGGGGUAAAGGCCUACCAAGGCGACGAUCUGUAGCUGGUCUGAGAGGAUGAUCAGCCACACUGGGACUGAGACACGGCCCAGACUCCUACGGGAGGCAGCAGUGGGGAAUAUUGGACAAUGGGCGAAAGCCUGAUCCAGCCAUGCCGCGUGUGUGAAGAAGGCCUUUUGGUUGUAAAGCACUUUAAGUGGGGA
rnacentral:rRNA from 1 species